rnacentral:lncRNA from 1 species
AUUAUGAGAGUGAAAACUUCACAAAAAGUGAAAAAAUUAGGAUGCCGGUAUACAAUUGUGAAGUACAACCAUACAUGAUAUGAUAUGACAUAAUACAACAUUAGGACGCCAGGAUACUAUUGAUCCCUCAAUUUGUUUUUUUGAGAUCAAUCCAAGUGACUUCACUUUAGCUUGCAUGACCAAUUUUCCGCUGAGACAGCCAUCCCCCGGGUGAGCCCCCUACAAGAAGAGUGUUCAUUGGUUUUGGCUUGAGCUCCGGUCACCAGAGGUGGAGGUAAAAUGUGUGACAGAUCGGAAGCAAUGUUUCAGGCUUGAGCUCUGGGUACCAUAUUAGAAACUAAAUAAAGACAGAAUUUAUCAUAUUCAUCUUAAUCAGCUAGUACAAAGUAAAACUAUAUUUAUAGCUUGUACAAUCUUUACCUAGAAGCUAUUGAACAAUUACAACAGAAUCCUAACUCAGCAUAACAGAAUGCUGAGUUAGCAUAACAGAACACAUGAACAGAAACUCAACUAACUAAAAUGCUGACUUAGCUUUUAUAAUAAUUUACAUAACUGCAAUAGAUUCUAACAGAUAGAACAUCGUACAUGUCUCAGCUUUUAUAUAUUAUAAUAGAUGUUAUGAACAUCUAGUGAAACAUGCACUUAAAGUUUGUUAGUGUAUUUGCAGUUUCUAUGUUAGUCCUCUAAUUUUGGCAAGUUCAGACUCCUACUCAAUCUGCCAUUUGAUUGUGGAAAUUAACUAAUACACAACUUCACUUUUCUUCAAACUAAUUUUGAAGUGUGCAGCACCAAAAAAUAGCAGGUUCUAACACUUGCCAAGGUGCACCACUUUAUGAGUCCUCUGCAUGUCCCUCUUUUGCUUCUUUUUGGGGAAUCAUUGAUUCAGUGACCCUUGGCUGCAACAAGUCCUCAUUGUCAUCACCACUAUUUCCCUUCUCAACCUAAUUUGUUGACACUUUUAGAAGAAUUUUACUCAUUUUGAGCUAUCAUUUGGUUUAUCUGCAUUUGAUGCAUUAAAAUCCUCUUGAUCAUUCAUGUGAUAUGUUGCUAACAUGAUCAACUUCUCUUUCUGGUUCAGAUAAAACCAUGGUUUCAUGAUUCUUGUUAAAUUCUUGGUCAGUAGCGUCAUCCUUGUUCAUCUUUUCAGAUUCUCCUAUGGUAUCUUCAGCAUUAUUGGUUACUUCAGUGACCAUUGGUAGUGGAGAAUCUUCAGAGAUGUCAUCUUUGUCCAAAUUUUCCUUCUCUAAAUGAUCUUUAACCUCUUGCUUUGACUCACUUUGCAAAUAGUUCACUUCUUCUGAGCAAUGAUUCUCCUUGUUCUUUUCACUCAACUUGUCCCUUUCCUCUUCUGGUAUGCAUGAUGAUAGUAGGGUUUCAUUCUCAUUCAAGUCAUUGUGUUUUCCUUCAAAAUCAUUGGCAGAACUCGUGCCUGUUUCAUCAGCGUUGAUAAAUUUUUCUGUGCUAGCCUCCUCUCUCACUGACGCUUGGGAUUUUUCUUCAUUCUCUCUGUGAAUUUCUGAGGAUGAUUCUAGCAUUAAAGAAAUCAAUGGCACCUGCUCAGUUUCACAGCAAAGAUUUAUACUGUAAGUGUAUUGUCUAAUCUACGUUAUAUAUUGUUGGUCAUGCAAGUGGCAUUUUCCUAAUUAGUUUAAAUAAAUGUUGUUUGAUUUUGCUCGUUUUAUUUAUCUACAACAAUGAUAUGUUCGCACUUCAUUUUUUAUGCAAUUCAUUUUCACCCAUUUUUAUACUAACAUCCUACAACCAAUGGUGGUCUUGCUUGGUUUAUAAUGAAAAUAUAAAAAUAUAAAAAUUGAAAAAUAAAAUAAAAUAUAAUUUUAAACAAUAUUGAACAUAACAAAAUUCAAAUCCUUUGACUAAUUUCAGUAUAUUUGAUGAUAAGUGUGGAUUAAAAGCACAUAAUUAUUAUUGCAUAAAUAAUAAAAUAUGAAUUCAUAUUAUUUAAAACAUAUGUACAAUUUUAUUCAUGAAUUACAUGAUCAAAUAAAAGAAUAAAUAUUAAAAAUAAAUAAAAUAACGGGCAAUAAUUAUGAGAGUGAAAACUUCACAAAAAGUGAAAAAAUUAGGAUGCCGGUAUACAAUUGGAAACUCAACUAACUAAAAUGCUGACUUAGCUUUUAUAAUAAUUUACAUAACUGCAAUAGAUUCUAACAGAUAGAACAUCGUACAUGUCUCAGCUUUUAUAUAUUAUAAUAGAUGUUAUGAACAUCUAGUGAAACAUGCACUUAAAGUUUGUUAGUGUAUUUGCAGUUUCUAUGUUAGUCCUCUAAUUUUGGCAAGUUCAGACUCCUACUCAAUCUGCCAUUUGAUUGUGGAAAUUAACUAAUACACAACUUCACUUUUCUUCAAACUAAUUUUGAAGUGUGCAGCACCAAAAAAUAGCAGGUUCUAACACUUGCCAAGGUGCACCACUUUAUGAGUCCUCUGCAUGUCCCUCUUUUGCUUCUUUUUGGGGAAUCAUUGAUUCAGUGACCCUUGGCUGCAACAAGUCCUCAUUGUCAUCACCACUAUUUCCCUUCUCAACCUAAUUUGUUGACACUUUUAGAAGAAUUUUACUCAUUUUGAGCUAUCAUUUGGUUUAUCUGCAUUUGAUGCAUUAAAAUCCUCUUGAUCAUUCAUGUGAUAUGUUGCUAACAUGAUCAACUUCUCUUUCUGGUUCAGAUAAAACCAUGGUUUCAUGAUUCUUGUUAAAUUCUUGGUCAGUAGCGUCAUCCUUGUUCAUCUUUUCAGAUUCUCCUAUGGUAUCUUCAGCAUUAUUGGUUACUUCAGUGACCAUUGGUAGUGGAGAAUCUUCAGAGAUGUCAUCUUUGUCCAAAUUUUCCUUCUCUAAAUGAUCUUUAACCUCUUGCUUUGACUCACUUUGCAAAUAGUUCACUUCUUCUGAGCAAUGAUUCUCCUUGUUCUUUUCACUCAACUUGUCCCUUUCCUCUUCUGGUAUGCAUGAUGAUAGUAGGGUUUCAUUCUCAUUCAAGUCAUUGUGUUUUCCUUCAAAAUCAUUGGCAGAACUCGUGCCUGUUUCAUCAGCGUUGAUAAAUUUUUCUGUGCUAGCCUCCUCUCUCACUGACGCUUGGGAUUUUUCUUCAUUCUCUCUGUGAAUUUCUGAGGAUGAUUCUAGCAUUAAAGAAAUCAAUGGCAC